AGACGUUUCUCCAAAGAAGACAUAACAAGUGGCCAACAGGACAAAUGGACCCAGCAAAAUCAGUCACGUGGAUGGUAACAAGAAUUCUCUAAUUCCUAACAUGUACGACGUAGGCCUGGAUGACAUCAGUAUUUUCAAAGUGAUACAAAUGUAAGAAUCACCUGGAACCCUUCUUGAAAAUAAAAGAUGUUGAGAUAUCA